UAACAUUUUAAUUCGACGUUUCGACUAGCUUGGCUUGCAGUCAGUGCCAGUCAUCGACUGCAAGCUAGUCGAAACGUCGAAUUAAAAUGUUAACCGUU